GAAAUCCUCUGCGACUGCGUUUCUAGGGUUUUUUUUGUGUGUAAGCUUUCUCUGCGCUGCUCUAAAUCUUCAAACCUGCACAGCAAAUCGUCUAGUCAUGGGUCAUUCCAACGUCUGGAAUUCACACCCCAAGACCUAUGGGCCUGGUUCUCGUGCCUGCCGUGUGUGUGGAAAUCCCCAUGGGUUGAUCAGGAAGUAUGGGCUUAUGUGUUGCAGACAGUGCUUCCGUAGCAAUGCCAAGGAAAUUGGCUUCAUCAAGUAUCGCUGAAGGAUAAACACCUUUUGGACUAAAGGAGAGGACAAGAAUGAUUCAAGUAGUGGCUUUCUGUUUGAUGAAUUUUAAGUUAUUGUUUAUUUAGUUGAUGUGUUGUUGAACUUGGAUUUAUGGUAGACAACGGGUAUUUUGGAGUGCUGUGAGAAUAUUGUUGGAAAUUCUCAUUUAUGGAUGAUUACCUUUCUUAUUCCAUUUUCCCCCCCAUUUGAUAUCUUUACCAACAGCUGCAGAACAGUAAAAGGCAAAUGCUGUUCACUAGUCAUGAACUUUAAUGAUCUUGUUGAGCUUUCAAAUUUUUGCUUGAUUUUCCACUACUUGCCAUGGAUAACCACCACUAUCUCAUCAAGUAGUAUGCGACAUUUACAUAAGUUACAACUACCACAGAGUUUUGAAGUUGCAACUUUACAUACUGAUUAGUGGUUAUUUGCAAAUGUGCACACUGUAUUAAAACGAUUUGUUGGUGCAGUCAUCCAUACUUUCAAAUGUAAGCAGUGAUCCCUUUUGCUCAAGUUUCCUUCUUCUAUAUUUUUUCUUAUUGAAAACUGAUCAGAUGUCCUCCUUUCAUUCAUAGUGGUUGGUACACUAUGGUCCAUAGUUAAUUUAAUUUAGUGUUGUAUUCUACCAAGUGGUCAUCUUUGGUGUAAAGCUGUCUGAUUCAAAGUGAUGAACCAAAAUUUACGUAGAUUAUUGCUGUUUUUGUUUUCUGCGAGUGGAUGAUCACAAUCACCUACGCAGAUACAGUAACAUGCUCUCUUAUUAUCA
rnacentral:misc_RNA from 1 species